UACGAGGGGGGCAAGCGUUGUUCGGAAUUACUGGGUGUAAAGGGUUCGUAGGCGGUGUGGCAAGUCGGGAGUGAAAUUUCUGGGCUCAACUCAGAGACUGCUUCCGAAACUGCUGUGCUUGAGUGUGGGAGAGGCGCGUGGAAUUGCAGGUGUAGCGGUGAAAUGCGUAGAUAUCUGCAGGAACACCCGUGGCGAAAGCGGCGCGCUGGACCACUACUGACGCUGAGGAACGAAAGCUAGGGGAGCAAACAGG
rnacentral:rRNA from 1 species